rnacentral:ncRNA from 1 species
CGACCUCAGAUCAGGCGGGACUACCCGCCGGAUUUAAGCAUAUUAAUAAGCGGAGGAAAAGAAAACAACCGUGAUUCCCUUAGUAGCGGCGAGCGAACCGGGAAAAGCCCAUCGCCGAAUCUCGCCGCGCACUUUUGUGUCGCGGCACGUAUGAGAGUUGUGGGCGUACGGGCCGGCCUCGUUGCCGGGGGCGCACGUGACGGUCCAAGUCUCCCUUGAACGGGGGCCAUGGCCCGCAGAUGGUGCCAGGCCAGUAGAGGCCGUCACAGCGUUCCGGGAUCGGACCGCGCCUUCGAGUCGGGUUGCUUGAGAGUGCAGCCCGAAGCGGGUGGUAAACUCCAUCUAAGGCUAAAUACGGCCACGAGACCGAUAGUUUACAAGUACCGUGAGGGAAAGUUGAAAAGAACUUUGAAGAGAGAGUUCAUAAGAACGUGAAACCGCUCGGUUGUAAACGGACAGAGCUCGCGAAUCCCCGCCGGGCGAAUUCACGGUCGGUCUAACCGCCGGCCGGAUCUUUCGCUCGGUUAGCGGACGUCGCGACCCGUUGGGCGCCGGCCGAAUGGCCCGGGUGACGUUCGUCGCGUCGGUCGCGUUUCGGCGUGACCGUUCGCGCCGAGCCCCGGUGCUCAUGGUCGGCUCGCCCGACGGCAAGAACCGUCGACGCGGCCCCGUCGCAAGCGGGGUCCCGUCGGUCGGCGACGUGUUUCGAGCUACUUUCCGACCCGUCUUGAAACACGGACCAAGGAGUCUAACGUGUGCGCGAGUCAACGGUGAUCUUACGAAAAACCACGUUUGGCGCAAUGAAAGUGAACCGUUUACGGUGCGGACGAUGGCCUAGCGACCGAACCCACCGGCGUUCAAAGUCGCGCUGGUCCGCAGUCCGGGGGCGUCUCCGCCAAGUCGGCUUCGGCCGGCUGGGGGGCGCACCCCUUAGCGCACACGUUGGUACCCGAAAGAUGGUGAACUAUGCCUGGCCCAGGAUGAAGUCAGGGGAAACCCUGAUGGAGGUCCGCAGCGAUUCUGACGUGCAAAUCGAUCGUCUGAGCUGGGGUAUAGGGGCGAAAAGACUAAUCGGAACCAUC